UACGGAGGGUGCAAGCGUUAUCCGGAUUCACUGGGUUUAAAGGGUGCGUAGGUGGGCAGUUAAGUCAGUGGUGAAAUCUCCGGGCUCAACCCGGAAACUGCCAUUGAUACUAUCUGUCUUGAAUAUCGUGGAGGUAAGCGGAAUAUGUCAUGUAGCGGUGAAAUGCUUAGAUACGACAUAGAACACCAAUUGCGAAGGCAGCUUACUACCCGAAUAUUGACACUGAGGCACGAAAGCGUGGGGAUCAAACAGG
rnacentral:rRNA from 1 species